AACUUUUAAGGGGAAUCCAUUUCAGCUUCUUCUCUCUCUGUAACUAUCUUCUUCAUUUGGACCACCAUGUCUUUUAGGAGGAAAGGCAACCACAACUACUAGCCAGGAUUAAGCUUGGAGAAGAUCAGGUUUAUAAACUGCUCUACAUUCAAGGAAUACCUGAGUGGUGUACUGAAAUAAAAUAUGUGCUACUCCCCAUUGAUUUGAAUGCAUGGUGAGCCUCACAAAGAGCUGAACGCUUUGUGCUCCCUCAUCAACUGAACUAAAUAUGAAGGCCUACAUAUAUGUGCUCAUUCACAACUCGGGACAGGCUCUGGAUCAGGACACUGAAAUGUUCAUCUCUAUACUCCGCUGACAGAAGAUGUGUGCAUCAGUUCUAGGGUGAGGCUGUCAAUGUGCUGAACCAGUGCCUGGCUGCGACAAUGGACUGGAUGUGGGCUAAUAAACUGAGGCUCAAUCCAGACAAGACUGAGAUGCUGUUAGCGGGCAGUUCAUCUGACCGGAUGGUGGAUGUCGAACUUGUCCUGGAUGGGGUCGUACUCCCCCUGAAA